rnacentral:rRNA from 1 species
UAGGGUAUCUUCCGCAAUGGACGCAAGUCUGACGGAGCAACGCCGCGUGAGUGAAGAAGGAUUUCGGUUCGUAAAACUCUGUUGUUAGAGAAGAACAGCGCAUAGAGUAACUGUUAUGCGUGUGACGGUAUCUAACCAGAAAGCCACGGCUAACUACGUGCCAGCAGCCGCGGUAAUACGUAGGUGGCAAGCGUUGUCCGGAUUUAUUGGGCGUAAAGCGAGCGCAGGCGGUCAAUUAAGUCUGAUGUGAAAGCCCCCGGCUCAACCGGGGAGGGUCAUUGGAAACUGGUUGACUUGAGUGCAGAAGAGGAGAGUGGAAUUCCAUGUGUAGCGGUGAAAUGCGUAGAUAUAUGGAGGAACACCAGUGGCGAAGGCGACUCUCUGGUCUGUAACUGACGCUGAGGCUCGAAAGCGUGGGUAGCAAACAGG